ensembl:snRNA U6 U6 spliceosomal RNA
GUGCUUGUUUCAGCAGAACAUAUACUAAAAUUGGGAUGAUACAGAAGAUUAGAAUGGCCCCUGUGCAAAGAUGACAUGGACUUUCAUAAAGUGUUCCAUAUUUUU